UACAGAGGUCUCAAGCGUUGUUCGGAUUCAUUGGGCGUAAAGGGUGCGUAGGCGGCGCGGUAAGUCGGGUGUGAAAUCUCGGAGCUUAACUCCGAAACUGCACUCGAUACUGCUGUGCUUGAGGACUGGAGAGGAGACUGGAAUUUACGGUGUAGCGGUGAAAUGCGUAGAUAUCGUAAGGAAGACCAGUGGCGAAGGCGGGUCUCUGGACAGUUCCUGACGCUGAGGCACGAAGGUCAGGGGAGCAAACGGG
rnacentral:rRNA from 1 species